ACGGGGGGGGCAAGCGUUGUUCGGAAUUACUGGGCGUAAAGGGCUCGUAGGCGGCCAACUAAGUCAGACGUGAAAUCCCCCGGCUUAACCUGGGAACUGCGUCUGAUACUGGGAAGCUAGAGUUCGGGAGAGGGAUGCGGAAUUCCAGGUGUAGCGGUGAAAUGCGUAGAUAUCUGGAGGAACACCGGUGGCGAAGGCGGCAUCCUGGACCGGCAUUGACGCUGAGGCGCGAAAGCCAGGGGAGCAAACGGGA
rnacentral:rRNA from 1 species